CUAGCUCAGCCAGUUUAGGCCUUUCCCCCAGAUAGCUUCAUGGUGUCAAACAGCCUCUCACGGCAACCAACGCAGGAGUCUCCCUAUGAAAACCUCAGUCGCAGGAUCAACUCCAUCAGUCAAAGUUUGCAGGAACGAAUCUAGAGCAACCCAAGCGGGUUAAAGACCACGAGCCUUUUUCCGUGUUAUCCAGUAAAGGAGAAGGACUGCACUGCAUAUGCCGGUCCCAGGAGGUUGAAAUACAACUGACAGCAGUGUGUAAAAUCAGCAACAAUCUGCACCGGGUGUCACACAAAGUGAAUGUGUACCUGUGUGGCCUGAGAUCCCAUAAAAUGCUAUGUUGAUUCAAGCAAACUGAACUGUGUCCAUCCUUUCUACGUGGCUACCCAGUUCUACUGUGAGGAGCUAACAUGAACAAUGUGUGUCCAU